GGGCAAAAAGUCACUUAACCGUCUUCAGAGGAGCUGCCCUUGCGCAAUAGGCUUUCUAUUUAUCCGUUAGUACCAGUGCCUCUUAUACUUUGGGAAAUCCAUGCAGCAGUUUCAGGGAUUUCAGACUUACAGAAAGUAUGUCUGUCUAGUGAGCUCUGCAGGCUAUACAACAACAGGUUUGUCCAGAUCUUUGAUCUACAACAGCACAGGAUGCAAGGACUUUAUGGCGUUUUACUCGUUUUCAUCUUUGUCUGCUGCAUCAGGGCUAAGAAGACACGCUGGUGCACAGUGUCAGAUCCUGAACAGAGGAAGUGUGCAGAACUAGCUAAAGCUCUGGUGGCAGUGCUGCCGCCAGCUGAUGUGGCUGCUUUUGCCAGACUCUCGUGCAUACGAGCGUCCAGUACGACUGACUGCAUCGAUAGAAUUAGGGCAAAUCGUGCUGAUAUAGUAACGUUAGAUGCAGGAGAAGUUUAUUCGGCUGUGAAGCAGUUUGGCCUCGUUGCCAUCGCUAAGGAGAUAUACAUUGACGGAGGCUGUAUUCUUUCUGUGGCUGUGGUGAGAAACCUCAGUUUGGACAUACGAUCCCUGCGGGGCCAAAGAAGCUGUCACAGUGGGGUCCGAUGGACGGCUGGAUGGAGUCUUCCACUCGGCUUCUUAUUGUCCCGCAACUACCUGAGCUGGUCAAAAGAACAGCCACUCAGUCAGGAAGUCAGUACCUUUUUCAGUGCCAGCUGUGUUCCCGGGGCUGUUGCCAUGGCAUCACCUCUGUGUGCUUUGUGCCAAGGCCAGAAGUCCUAUAUUCGCCAGAAGAAUUACCACUGCGAAACGUCCCACAGUGAACCCUUCUACAACAGCCAAGGGGCCCUCCGAUGUCUCAGGAGUGGGACAGGAGAUGUUGCAUUUGUGGACCAUUUAGCUCUUGAAAGUAUUGAAGAUAGUGAUAGAGAUGAGUUCAGGUUACUGUGCACAGACGGCACACAAGCUCCUCUCAGCCACUACAGAAACUGUAAUCUGGGACGGGGUCCAGGAGGCAGCGUGGUCACCAGAUUUAACUUUCGCAAGAUUGCUCACAAAUUUCUCAUGAUGGUGCAGAUGCUGUUUGGCAAACAAGGAAGAAAGAGGCAGCGCUUCCAUCUCUUCAACUCAUCUUCUUUUGGAGAAAACGACCUUCUCUUCAAAGAUGUGACAGAUAAACUAGCUUUUCUGCCAGAUAAUAUGGAUGUCAGUCAGGUGCUGGGGCUCGAUUAUGUGGCACUCCUCAAAGGUCUCGGACAUGAAGGAAGUUCACUGGAGGACAGUGUUGUGCGUUGGUGCUGUAUUAGCCAGGCGGAGCAGAAGAAAUGUGAGCAGUGGGCUCUAAGUAUAAAGUCAGACCCGCUGGUAUGUGUCAGAGCCGUCUCAUUGCGCGACUGUAUCGAGAAAAUUAAGAGGGACGAGGUGGAUGCCGUCUCGCUGGAUGCAACUCACUCUUUCAUCGCAGGAAAAUGUGGCCUUGUCCCCGUGGUUACAGAAUAUUAUGGAGAAAAAUGUGUUCCUGCUGAGGGAUCAACCCACUUAGAGACCGACGUGUUGCCCUCAGUGGUGGGUGUGGCCGUGGCAAAGCGCUCCAACAAAAACAUAUUCAUUGGGAACCUCGGAGGCCGGCGCUCCUGUCACGGCCACAUGUACAGUCCGGCAGGCUGGCUGCUGCCAUACAGACACACGUUAAGCCUGGAGCAUAACAGCAGCUCCCCCUGUGAUCCAAACCAAGUGUACAACGACGUGUUUUGGAAAGGUUGCCUACCUGGCUCUCAGGGGAAUCUGUGUAAAGUGUGUCUGGGGGGCACAGGGGAGGCUGCCACCAAACGCUGCGCUGACAACCACAAUGAACGUUACUAUGGCAACAUGGGCGCUUUAAGGUGUCUGGUCGGAGAUCCCAGUGGUAAAAGCUACGGUGACGUGGCCUUCCUCGAGCAACACAACCUUUUUGCCAACAUCCUCAGUUUGAGUUCCACCGGUUGGGCACAGGGGUGGACGUCAUCAGACUAUGAGCUGCUGUGCAGUGAUGGUCGUCGGGCCCCGUUGUCCGAGUGGGAGAGCUGUAACCUUGGAGAAAUCCCACCGAACAUCAUCAUGACACGGCCGGUGCUCACUGCACGAGUGUAUGACUUCCUCAUGAAGUCACAGGAAACUUUGACAGCCAACCCAAACGCAGAGUUCAAGCUCUUUGAGUCUCAGCAAUAUGGAGAAAGUGACCUGCUGUUCAAAGACGCAACUCAGUGUUUUGUGCACACAAGCCACAUGGACUACCGCUCCAUCCUUGGAGAGGAAUUUUACAGUCACACAGAAACUGCCUUCAACUGCACACGCUCUGAUAUCUUGGAGUUUUGUAAUCAGGACGUGUGCAGCAUAUUCUAAUGGACACACAGAAGGAAACAUUACCUUUCUCUUUGCUACUCUGUGCAGUGGUUCAACACUUCAUCCACUAACUUGUUUCAGCCAUAUCUGAUGACUGAAUUCCCUUUGUAUUUUUAGACCUUAAAAAUAAUUAUGUCAUUGGCACAGCAAAGUGCAAACACAAAGCCUCUCACAAAGAAGUUGAGAUGAUAGUCAGCAUUGAUACAAACAACAUGAAUACGUUUGUAAAUAUAUGGAUCUAAUAUCUAUUUGUAGGAUACAAAAAUGUAACCAUGUGUUACAUUUUUACAUGCACCAAAAAUAUACUUGUAUUUGUUAUUACAUAUCAAAGUGAGUGUAAGACUAGGGACCAUUAGAUAUGUGGGGAUGCCAUUUUUAAGCAAUGCUUAUUAUUAUUGUUUGUCAGUCUCACAGCAGCUCUGAAAUUAAUGGCCUCAGCCCUGGAGGAUAUACAUGUUUACACAUAUUUUAUUAAGGACUUUGAGAUUGAAGCUCACAGGAAGUGAUGCAGCUGAAUACAGCUAGGACUAUACAUUAUACUUCGUUUGUUUUUGUAACACAAUGUAUGUUUUGCACCAAUAUGUAAUGCAAGGUGUGUCAUGGAGAUUAGUUGGUGCAAAGUUUUUCAGUCAUCUUUUUUCUAUACCUGUGUCUCUGUAAAGUAAUAACUUUUAGAAAUAAUUUAAAGAUA